NNAGUACUCCCUCCGUCCCAAAAUUCUUGUCUUAGAUUUGUCUAGAUACGGAUGUAUCAAGUCACAUUUUAGUAUUAGAUACAUCCGUAUCUAGACAAAUCUAAGACAAGAAAUUUGGGAUAGAGGGAGUAGUUG
rnacentral:pre_miRNA from 1 species